rnacentral:rRNA from 1 species
UACGGGGGGGGCAAGCGUUGUUCGGAAUUACUGGGCGUAAAGGGCGCGUAGGUGGCCAACUAAGUCAGACGUGAAAUCCCUCGGCUUAACCGGGGAACUGCGUCUGAUACUGGAUGGCUUGAGUUUGGGAGAGGGACGCGGAAUUCCAGGUGUAGCGGUGAAAUGCGUAGAUAUCUGGAGGAACACCGGGUGGCGAAGGCGGCGUCCUGGACCAAUACUGACACUGAAACGCGAAAGCCAGGGGAGCAAACGGG